UUAUAUUUUUCCUUUUCAAUAAUCUAUUUUCUCCACCUUAAUGAUAAAUUUCAGCAUCACAAUACCGCGCUUAUUGCCAUCAACAUUCAGUACCUCCAUCGCAGCUGAGUCUCUUCUUCUCCCCUGCUUAAAAUGGAAGCUGAAAGUGUUCUCCCCAAAUGGGGUUCUGAGCCUUGCAUUAUGGGAAUCGAUGAAGCUGGUCGCGGCCCUGUUUUAGGGCCAAUGGUGUAUGGGUGCUUGUAUUGUCCACUUUCUUAUGAGAACACCUUGGCCUCACUUGAUUUUGCAGAUUCAAAGACUUUGAAAGAAGAGAAGAGGGAAGAGCUAUUUGAAAAUUUGAAGGCAGAUGAAAGCAUUGGGUGGGCAGUUGAUGUAAUCGAUCCGUGGGAACUUUCAGCUAAAAUGCUGAAGAAAAAUAAGAUCAACCUCAAUGAGAUAUCACAUAAUUCUGCAAUUGGUCUCGUUAGGAGGGCACUAAAUACUGGAGUCCUUCUUACAGAGGUUUAUGUGGAUACUGUCGGAGAUCCUGAGAAGUACCGGACCAAACUGAGUGAUAUAUUUCCAUCUAUAAAAUUUGUGGUUGCAAAAAAAGCCGAUAGCCUCUAUCCAGUUGUUAGUGGUGCAAGUAUUGUUGCAAAGGUCACGAGAGAUCGAGCAUUACGGAAUUGGGUGUUUGAUGAAAGCGCUGAAAACAUGCAGAGGAACUUUGGAUCUGGAUACCCUGGUGACCCUCAAACAAAAGUCUGGUUGGAGCAUCAUAAACAUACUGUAUUUGGGUUUCCAACAUUAGUGCGCUUCAGCUGGGGUACAUGCAAUUCCUAUUUUAAAGAUGGAAUCGAGGUGUUGUGGGAAGCAGAUGCAACAGAUGAAGACGAUUCCUCUGUGAAGACUCGAAAGAAGCAACUGAAACUGAGCAGUGUUGGUUUUACUGGUAUGAAGAGGAGCAGUGAAGAAAUUGAAUCAAGUGGUAAAGGGCGCUGCAAGUUUUUCCAAGCACGGAAACUUGAACAACUUUCUAAGUUUUGAGAAUCAAGGCAAAGGAUAAAGAAGAGCUUGAUGUGUACAUGCAACACAGGACAACAAAUUGUAAUUUUGAGCAAUGGCACAACGAGACUCACAAGACAAAGACAUCGGUAUGGGGGAUUCUAAUGAUGCUCAAACUCAAACUUAAGCAAGCUCAAAGAAAAAAAAGAAAGACCAUGAAAGAGAGGUCGGAAGUAUGGGAUCAUUUCACCAAGUUCACGGAUGCGAAAGGGUGUUUAAGAGCUAAGUGCAACUAUUCUGAAAAGGUAUAUUAUUCCGAUCCUAGUACAAAUGGCACUAGUGCACUUUCAAAGCAUCUUAAAUCUUGUAAGAAACUCCCUCUUAGUGGUGAAUCGAAACAAACACAAUCGUCUUUGCAUUCGGUAGGAGGAAACGAGUGCAUUUUUAAAAAGCGGCAUUUUGAUCAAAAAACAUCUAGACAUAAGUUAGCCGCCAUGAUCAUUAUAGAUGAACUUCCAUUUAG